rnacentral:rRNA from 1 species
CCUACGGGUGGCAGCAGUGGGGAAUAUUGCACAAUGGGCGCAAGCCUGAUGCAGCCAUGCCGCGUGUGUGAAGAAGGCCUUCGGGUUGUAAAGCACUUUCAGCGGGGAGGAAGGCGGUGAGGUUAAUAACCUCAUCGAUUGACGUUACCCGCAGAAGAAGCACCGGCUAACUCCGUGCCAGCAGCCGCGGUAAUACGGAGGGUGCAAGCGUUAAUCGGAAUUACUGGGCGUAAAGCGCACGCAGGCGGUCUGUCAAGUCGGAUGUGAAAUCCCCGGGCUCAACCUGGGAACUGCAUUCGAAACUGGCAGGCUAGAGUCUUGUAGAGGGGGGUAGAAUUCCAGGUGUAGCGGUGAAAUGCGUAGCGAUCUGGAGGAAUACCGGUGGCGAAGGCGGCCCCCUGGACAAAGACUGACGCUCAGGUGCGAAAGCGUGGGGAGCAAACAGGAUUAGAUACCCGGGUAGUC